rnacentral:rRNA from 1 species
UACGAAGGGGGCUAGCGUUGUUCGGAUUUACUGGGCGUAAAGCGCACGUAGGCGGAUUGUUAAGUCAGGGGUGAAAUCCUGGAGCUCAACUCCAGAACUGCCUUUGAUACUGGCAAUCUUGAGUCCGGAAGAGGUGAGUGGAACUCCUAGUGUAGAGGUGGAAUUCGUAGAUAUUAGGAAGAACACCAGUGGCGAAGGCGGCUCACUGGUCCGGUACUGACGCUGAGGCACGAAAGCGUGGGGAGCAAACAGG